GGAGGCAGCAGUGGGGAAUUUUCCGCAAUGGGCGAAAGCCUGACGGAGCAACGCCGCGUGAGGGAGGAAGGUCUUUGGAUUGUAAACCUCUUUUCUCAAGGAAGAAGUUCUGACGGUACUUGAGGAAUCAGCCUCGGCUAACUCCGUGCCAGCAGCCGCGGUAAUACGGGGGAGGCAAGCGUUAUCCGGAAUUAUUGGGCGUAAAGCGUCCGCAGGUGGUCAGCCAAGUCUGCCGUCAAAUCAGGUUGCUUAACGACCUAAAGGCGGUGGAAACUGGCAGACUAGAGAUCAGUAGGGGUAGCAGGAAUUCCCAGUGUAGCGGUGAAAUGCGUAGAGAUUGGGAAGAACAUCGGUGGCGAAAGCGUGCUACUGGGCUGUAUCUGACACUCAGGGACGAAAGCUAGGGGAGCGAAAGGGAUUAGAUACCCCUGUAGUCCUAGCCGUAAACGAUGGAUACUAGGCGUGGCUUGUAUCGACC
rnacentral:rRNA from 1 species